rnacentral:rRNA from 1 species
AUAUCAUUAAGCGGAGGAAAAGAAACUAACAAGGAUGCCCUCAGUAACGGCGAGUGAAGCGGGCAAAGCUCAAACUGAAAAUCGGUGCUCCAUGCGGGGCUUCGAAUUGUAGUCUAUAGACGCGCCAUCAGCGAUGAACCGGGUAUAAAUCUUUUGAAACAAGGUGUCAUAGAGGGUGAGAACCCCGUCUUUGACUCGGAGCUCAUUGCGUACGAUGCGUGUUCAAAGAGUCGAGUUGCUUGGGAUUGCAGCUCUAAGUGGGUGGUAAACUUCAUCUAAAGCUAAAUAUUGACGGGAGACCGAUAGCGAACAAGUACCGUGAGGGAAAGAUGAAAAGAACUUUGAGAAGAGAGUUAAAAAGUACUUGAAAUUGUUAAGAGGGAAGCACUGGAAACCAGUAUUGCCGGUUGCUGUUUCGCCUUUGCGUGGGUUGGAGGCUGCGCGUCGCGAGGUUAAACCACGAUUGCGUAGUCGAAGGCUCGUGUGGGGGUUCUGCAGUAGCUGGUGGGUCAAAAUCAAUUUGGCUCGUGGGAGAAAGCUAUGCGGAAGGUAGGGCCGAAAGGCCUGUUAUAGCCGUGUAGUGCUACCAUGGGCUGGAUUGA